rnacentral:misc_RNA from 1 species
GAUGAAGAACGUAGCGAAAUGCGAUACGUAAUGUGAAUUGCAGAAUUCAGUGAAUCAUCGAAUCUUUGAACGCAUAUUGCGCUCUUUGGUAUUCCGAAGAGCAUGCUUGUUUGAGUAUCAGUAAACACCUCAAAGCUUUUGGAUUUUUUAAUCGAAAAGCUUUGGACUUGAGCAAUCCCAACACCAAUCUUUUUGAGAUCGGUGGCGGGUUGCUUGAAAUGCAGGUGCAGCUGGACAUUCUCCUGAGCUAAAAGCAUAUUCAUUUAGUCCCGUCAAACGGAUUAUUACUUUUGCUGCAGCUAACAUAAAGGGAGUUUGACCGUAUUGGCUGACUGAUGCAGGAUUUCACAAGGGUUGGCAACGAUUCUUGUUAAACUCGAUCUCAAAUCAAGUAAGACUACCCGCUGAACUUAAGCAUAUCAAUAAGCGGAGGA